rnacentral:lncRNA from 1 species
AAAAACCUCAGCCCUGGGUCCAAAAGCAACUUUUCCCUGUGAAAAAAAAAAGAAAAGAAAGAAAACACACUGACAGAAACUUCAUUGUGCAGGAAGGAGGUGAGGGGGCUCAGCACCCAUCCUGGGGGGUCCUGGGGCCCAGCACCAGCAGCAGCUGGAGCAGGGGGGGUCCAGGGUCUGGGGGUCCAGGGCUGGGGCAAGGGGGUGCAGGGCUUGAUCGGCAGCCAGGUGGGGGAUUUGGGCAGGUGGAGGAGGCGCUGGGCUGGCCCCGGUCCCGCUCUGGUUGCAGGACCCAGCUGCACCGAAUCAGCCCGGCUGGGGGAGUGGGAAAAAAGAACACUAAAAGAGAUCUUACAGCCCUAACCGGGUAAAAUCGGGACUUUAAUAAUGACCAGGCAUGAUGGGAAGGGGCUUUUUGGGGCAGGAUGCUUUUGGGUCUGAUGUUGGCUCUGUGUUGCAGGUACUGCCACUGGUGCACAGGGCCCCCUGGGGACCUGCCGCCCCCCUGUGCCACCCCUGAUGGAGGUGCUGAGACGCAGCGAGCCGGGUGGGCUGGCACCCUGAGCAGCCUGCAGGCACAACGGCAGGUGCCGUGGGACAGCUUCGCCCUCCCGGCCGCGUUUCGGAGGUGCCAGGAGCCGAGCGGGACGGAGGCGCAGGGAGCGGACGCCCGGCGGGGCUGCGGGGUGGGCCUGCAGGUUUGGCAACGCGCCCCCGGCCCCCUCCCGGCACAGGGGGCACUGGGAGCACUGGGGGCACCGUGCCGAGGGGUGCCCAGCACCGCUGGGGUGGCUGCUUUCCCCCCGGGGCACGGCCUCCCCCCGGCCGCGCUCGCUGCGGGUACCGGGCGGUGUUUAUGGGGCCGGAGGUUGGUUAUAGGGAAUUUUUGGCCAAACGUCCCAAAGUCCAGCAGCUCGGACACGUUGCAAAGGCCCCAGGGCGAGGCCUGGGGGGGCUCGGUGGGACCAAACACCCCGGCCACGCAUGGGCAAGGGGUGGCCGAGCCCCACUAGCCACUAGCCACGGACCCCCUGCGGCCACCAGCCCCUCGCCCCCUGCCCACUGCAGCGGGACCCG